GUGCCAGCAGCCGCGGUAAUACGGAGGGCGCAAGCGUUGCUCGGAAUCACUGGGCGUAAAGCGAACGCAGGCGGCCAAGUGUGUCGGAUGUGAAAGCCCCGGGCUCAACUCGGGAACUGCAUUCGAAACUGCUUGGCUUGAGUCCGGAAGAGGGUGGUGGAAUUCCUGGUGUAGAGGUGAAAUUCGUUGAUAUCAGGAGGAACACCGGCGGCGAAGGCGGCCACCUGGUCCGGUACUGACGCUCAUGUUCGAAAGCGUGGGUAGCAAACAGGAUUAGAUACCCCUGUAGUCC
rnacentral:rRNA from 1 species